rnacentral:rRNA from 1 species
UACGUAGGGGGCAAGCGUUGUCCGGAUUUAUUGGGCGUAAAGAGCGUGUAGGCGGCUUUGCAAGUCCGUUGUGAAAACUCGAGGCUCAACCUCGAGACGCCGGUGGAAACUGCAAAGCUAGAGUCCGGAAGAGGAGAGUGGAAUUCCUGGUGUAGCGGUGAAAUGCGCAGAUAUCAGGAAGAACACCCGUGGCGAAGGCGGCUCACUGGCCCGAAUACUG